GCACAACAUUUGCAGCGGCCCCGUUCCCAGUCCGUUAACCCACCUGGUCCAGACUUUCCCCAAUACCAAACAACCCCGUUUUGUCCCGGAUUAAUCCCCACCCUUCAUCUCACUUGAUCCAGUGAUAGAGAACUAAUCUUGUGUUUCCCUUGUAACUGUCCGAAACGACCACCCCAACCCCCAUAACCCUUCUCAGAUCAUCCCCCUUUCCCUUCUCUCACCCUCCGCCACACGCCAUCGCCGGAAUUCGCCCUCGGCAGCGGCCAACCUCCAACUAGCCCCAAAUUACCCCCAGAUAUUCCUUGCUUUCUCCACAUGACCAUCCCACAUUUAGCUUCUUCCAAAACCUCAAUGAAACCCUCGAAUUGUAGAUCUAGGAACUGAACCCUAGCCGCCACUCGGUUCUUCUUCAUUUCCUCGAUCGAUCUGUCCUCUUUACGGUUGAGACUUACAUCAGUAGAAAGCUGUUGAUGAGAACUAUCCAUUGAUGUAAGAUUCACUCCGUUUCUCGGAGGUCGGAUAUUGGUCAACCAGCCGUUGACCGGCCAGAACUUUUUCUGAGGCUACCUCUUUUGCUUCAUCUCGAGAUCAAAUGGGUUGUUAAAUUUGAAGCCAAAAAGUGGGAUUAAACACCCUGAUGACGGGCAGGCUUGAAUUAAGAGCUGGGCAUCUUCUGUUUAUGUUUGGAUAUUGUUAUAAAUAAAAUGUAAUUAUAGUAAAACUACUCAUUCCUUGUUGAUUUCGUUAAGGAUUGUAAUUAAGAGGCUUAGUUGUAAAUUCUAGGAUUUUAGUAAAUUCAAAUGCAAGCUUUGGAGAUGAUUGCUUA